UACCAGUAUCCUGGUAGGGCUUUUUCUGUAGAUCUACAUCAUUGGAAAUGACUCAAAGAGUAACUCUGUGGUUUCGCUUUACUCACAAAACUAUUUGUGAGAUCUGUGGGAAGGCACUACAAGACAGAG